ensembl:snRNA U6 U6 spliceosomal RNA
GUGAUCACUUCAGCAGCACACAUAUGAAAAUCUGAAAUGACAGAGAAGAUUAGCAUGGCCCCUGUGCAAGGAUGACACACAAAUUUAUGAAGCGUUCCAAAUUUUA